ensembl:lncRNA
CCAGAUUUAACAUGCACGUAUAUGGCAAAUUGUAUUAUUUGCAUACCGGAGCUGAAUCUUAUGAUAAGUGUAAUGCAUGUCACGACAUACAAACAUGGCACGAGAUUUUAGGCCACUAGAACUAUGACGAUGUUCUUAAGUUGCAGGGUGUUGUUGAAGGUAUGCAGAUAAAGGGUAAAACAGGCAGACCCGAACAAGAGUGUGAGGUGUGUAUUCAGGGAAAGUUUGCCCAAACCAGAAAUAGGGACCAUGAUACCAGAGCAAAGGCUCCUUUACUGAUGGUACACAAAGACCUUGCAGAUCCAAUAGCCACAGAGUUGAUAGACGGUUACAAAUAUGUGCAGUCAUUCACUGACGAUUACUCUAGCGCAAUGUUCGUAUAUUUCCUAAAGAGGAAAAGUGACACCGUACAGGCUACUGAAAAGUUCCUAGCAGAUGUAUCCCCUUACGGGAAAGUGAGGUGCAUCAGAUCCGACAAAAGAACAGAGUUUACGUGCAGUGAUUUUCAAGCACUGUUGAGGAAAAACAAAAUCACACAUGAAACAUCAGCUCUGUAUUCCCCACACCAGAACGGAACUGCAGAGAGGGGUUGGCGUUUUCUUUUUGAGAUGGGCAGGUGCAUGGUAGUUGAAAGUGCACUACCAAAGCAGCUAUGGCACUACGCAGUACAAACAGCAGCAAUGGUACGCAACAGGUGUUUUAACAGGCGUACAGGGCAGACUUCUUAUGAGUCGCUUAUAGAAAAGAAGCCUAAUGUGUCAAAAAUGCAAAAGUUUGGAUCUGUAUGCUACACGUACAAACAGGACAAGGGAAAAUUUGAUUCCAGGUGUGACCAGGGUCGUUUUGUAGGUUAUGACAAGAACAGCCUGGCAUAUUUGGUGUAUCAUCCAGAUACAAACAAAGUACAAAAACACAGGCUAGUGAAGUUUGUGAGCAAGGCUAUGAUGUUCCAUUUGUGCCAAAAUUAUGUCGACAUGCUGUCUGUCUAUGCUAUGUGUCGUCUCAACUUACUCCUGUCAUCUGUCCUUGUCGUUUGACUUUGUCGUCUUGCGUGUCAAUGCUGCAUGUGUUAUGACUAUGUGUUUUUUCAUUCUGUCGUUGCUAUGCAUCGUUUUCCAUGUCUAUGGUAUGCGUCGUUACUAUGUGUCGUUUUCUUCUGUCGUUACUAUGUGUCGUCUUCCAUGUCUAUGCUAUGCGUCUAUGCUAUGCGUCGUUGCUAUGCGUCGUUUCCCUCUGUCGUUACUAUGUGUCGUCUUCCAUGUCUAUGCUAUGCGUCGUUUCCCUCUGUCGUUACUAUGUGUCGUCUUCCAUGUCUAUGCUAUGCGUCGUUACUAUGCAUCGUUUCCCUCUGUCGUUACUAUGUGUCGUCUUCCAUGUCUAUGCUAUGCGUCGUUACUAUGCGUCGUUUCCCUCUGUCGUUACUAUGUGUCGUCUUCCAUGUCUAUGCUAUGCGUCGUUACUAUGCAUCGUUUCCCUCUGUCGUUACUAUGUGUCGUCUUCCAUGUCUAUGCUAUGCGUCGUUACUAUGCAUCGUUUCCCUCUGUCGUUACUAUGUGUCGUCUUCCAUGUCUAUGCUAUGCGUCGUUACUAUGCAUCGUUUCCCUCUGUCGUUACUAUGUGUCGUCUUCCAUGUCUAUGCUAUGCGUCGUUACUAUGCAUCGUUUCCCUCUGUCGUUACUAUGUGUCGUCUUCCAUGUCUAUGCUAUGCGUCGUUACUAUGCAUCGUUUCCCUCUGUCGUUACUAUGUGUCGUCUUCCAUGUCUAUGCUAUGCGUCGUUACUAUGCAUCGUUUCCCUCUGUCGUUACUAUGUGUCGUCUUCCAUGUCUAUGCUAUGCGUCGUUACUAUGCAUCGUUUCCCUCUGUCGUUACUAUGUGUCGUCUUCCAUGUCUAUGCUAUGCGUCGUUACUAUGCAUCGUUUCCCUCUGUCGUUACUAUGUGUCGUCUUCCAUGUCUAUGCUAUGCGUCGUUACUAUGCAUCGUUUCCCUCUGUCGUUACUAUGUGUCGUCUUCCAUGUCUAUGCUAUGCGUCGUUACUAUGCGUCGUUUCCCUCUGUCGUUUCCCUCUGUCGUUACUAUGCGUCAUCUUCCAUGUCUAUGCUAUGCGUCGUUUUCCUCUGUCGUUACUAUGUGCCGUCUUCCAUGUCUAUGCUAUGCGUCGUUUCCCUCUGUCGUUACUAUGAGUCAUCUUCCCUGUCUAUACUAUGCGUCGUUUCCCUCUGUCGUUACUAUGAGUCAUCUUCCCUGUCUAUACUAUGCGUCGUUUCCCUCUGUCGUUACUAUGUGCCUUCUUCCAUGUCUAUGCUAUGCGUCGUUUCCCUCUGUCGUUACUGUGUCAUCUUCCAUGUCUAUGCUAUGCGUCGUUGCUAUGCGUCGUUUCCCUCUGUCGUUACUAUGUGUCGUCUUCCAUGUCUAUGCUAUGCGUCUAUGCUAUGCGUCGUUUCCCUCUGUCGUUACUAUGUCGUCUUCCAUGUCUAUGCUAUGCGUCGUUUCCCUCUCUUUUGUAUAUUUUUUGUAAAAUAGUAAGUUCUAUUUUAUUUUUAUACUGUACACUUAACAGUUUUUGUAAUAUUUCUUACGGUCCUCUGUUUUUAUUCUUUAAGUGAGUGUUGUAGCCUAGCCUAUUUUAUAGCAAAGAUUAAUCAGAGUCAAAUUCUUUGUUUGUUUACUCAAACCUGGCCAAUAAAGCUGAUUCUGAUGUCA